AUUUAACAAAUGAGUAAGCAAAAAUUAUUUUUAUUAACAUAAUAUAAAAACUGUUAACUAAUUAUGGAGAGAAAAAAGAGGAAAGUGCAGAUAUAUAAAAUGAUCUUUUCGUUUUGAAGUCAACAUUCAAUGCAACAUGGGAACAAUGGAGGCAUUCUGUUUUCUGGGGCUUAGUACCCAGGACAAGCAGAUCCAAAUUCCUACAGAUUAGAGAAAAACUCAAGACAGAGCCAUUAGUGGGUUUAUAGCUUCUUUAUUCACAGUGGCAGUGAGAAAUGCACAAGGACAAGCCAUGUGCCUCCAAAGGCAGUGGGGUUACAGGAGGUAUCUGCCUUUGUGGACAUGGCAGUGGUGGGAUGCAAACACACACACACACAAACUACACACACACAAACUACACACACACACAUCCACAAGCAACCAUACCUAAUCCUGACCCCUAGUUGCUUAUAUGACUUACAGAUAAUAGGGGCCCAAAGUAAAACAUUAAAAAAAUAUACCUGUGAGCUCCUGGCCAAGCAGGUGGACCUGUCAGUUACCAUGACACCAGUUGCCAUGGAGAGACAGAUAUAUAGGGAACUUGAGAACUUCAUCUUUCCGAGUUCAUCUUCUCAACGUAUUAUAACUCAGGAGUGUAGAAGAGACAAAGUUUACUUGACAUGCAAGACUUGUCUGGAAGCCUCCAUGGAAAAAACUGUAUGCCAGAGUCACCCAAAAUUGAAAAAGAAGAAGUCAUUUAUAUGCUCAGAUCUCUCUCCUUUCUUACUGGCCAGAGGACAUCCCAAGAGUUGUCACUCUCCUGACAUUUCAAGAUUUUGCCAUACAUCAUCUAAUGCUGUUGCCCAGGAAGCCAGAUACAGUGUCUUGGGAUGAAUAUUUUUAUUGCAGACUGAUAAUGAAAUUGCAAACUAGAGGUAGGACGUUAACAAAAGUGAACAGAUAAAGGAGGCUCACAUUACAAAAGUUUCCCAGCAUACCAAAUUCUUCCCUGUAUUAAUUUUCUCCUUGUUGUUUACCCUACCUAGAACUUAAGACCCAUAAGCCAGGGAUGAGGUAGGAAGUCUAUUUUCAGUUCCUAUUUUAUGAGAGCAGUUUAAAAACAAAGUGGAAAAAACUUGAAUUAAAAGAUGUUUAUUUGGUUCGAAAAGUUUUGAAGUCUAGGUGCGAGAAUUGUCUUAAAAAUCAUUGGAAAUUUAAAUUGCAAAGGAAACUAUGAUUGCUUUGUAUGUUUUUUGCAUAUGUGUCUUUCCAAUUUUCACACGAACAUUCUGAAGUACCCUCAUAUAUGUAGUGCUCAAUAAAUAGUUGUUGAAAGAAUGAAGUACUUCA
rnacentral:lncRNA from 1 species